GCCGGGCGCGGUAGCUCAUGCCUGUAGUCCCAGCUACUCAGGAGGCUGAGACUGGAGGAUCUCUUGAGCCCAGGAGUUCUGGGCUGUAGUGUGCUAUGCCAAUCUGGUGUCUGCACUAAGUUUGGCAUCAAUAUGGUGACCUCCCAGGAUUGGGGGACCACCAGGUUGCCUAAGGAGGGGUGAACCGGCCCAGGUCAGAAACGGAGCAGGUCAAAACUCCCGUGCUGAUCAGUAGUGGGAUUGUGCCUGUGAACAGCCACUGCACUCCAGCCUGGACAACAUAGCGAGACCCUGUCUCU
rnacentral:SRP_RNA from 1 species